rnacentral:misc_RNA from 1 species
GAUGAAGAACGUAGCGAAAUGCGAUAAGUAAUGUGAAUUGCAGAAUUCAGUGAAUCAUCGAAUCUUUGAACGCACAUUGCGCCCGCCAGUAUUCUGGCGGGCAUGCCUGUCUGAGCGUCAUUUCAACCCUCAGCCCCCGCUCGCGGGGCGCUGGCGUUGGGGAUCGGCCGUCCUCGCGGCGGCCGGCCCCGAAACACAGUGGCGGUCUCUCGCGGACUCCCCUGCGUAGUAGCACUACCUCGCAGAAGGGACGAGCGGGCUGACCACGUCGUAAAACCCCCCACUUCUCCAGGUUGACCUCAGAUCAGGUAGGAAUACCCGCUGAACUUAAGCAUAUCAAUAAGCGGAGGA